rnacentral:rRNA from 1 species
AUUGAACGCUGGCGGCAGGCCUAACACAUGCAAGUCGAGCGGAUGAAGGGAGCUUGCUCCUAGAUUCAGCGGCGGACGGGUGAGUAAUGCCUAGGAAUCUGCCUGUUAGUGGGGGAUAACGUCCGGACACGGGCGCUAAUACCGCAUACGUCCUGAGGGAGAAAGUGGGGGAUCUUCGGACCUCACGCUAUCAGAUGAGCCUAGGUCGGAUUAGCUAGUUGGUGGGGUAAAGGCCUACCAAGGCGACGAUCCGUAACUGGUCUGAGAGGAUGAUCAGUCACACUGGAACUGAGACACGGUCCAGACUCCUACGGGAGGCAGCAGUGGGGAAUAUUGGACAAUGGGCGAAAGCCUGAUCCAGCCAUGCCGCGUGUGUGAAGAAGGUCUUCGGAUUGUAAAGCACUUUAAGUUGGGAGGAAGGGCAGUAAGUUAAUACCUUGCUGUUUUGACGUUACCAACAGAAUAAGCACCGGCUAACUUCGUG